GUCAAGAGAAAAAGAGAAAGGAAUGGUAAAGGAGAGUGUGGAAACAGGACGUUAGGAGAGAACAAAAUGGGAAAAAUAUGAGACUAAAAUUUAUGGAAGUAUGCCUAAGAAGCAUCUGUCUCUGGAGAGAGAGCCCUAAACAUCUGGACUGGGAAGAAGACACUUUUCAUGUCCAAUGCAACUCUUCUGGACAGCUCUUCUCCAAGUGAGGACUCAAUGACACAGGUGGAAAAUAAAGAUCUAGACCUAUUUCUGCUAUGGGACCAUUCUGGAAGGGUUUCUCUGUCAGAGAUCAAUGAGGUUUGCCGCGGCUCUGGAAGCUGGCUCCUGUGAAGGUGUGCAGGCAGAGCCGAGAAUGCAUGUCUUACAGUCCUUGCUUAUGCAGCAGGAAAGCCAAAGAACCAUGAGAGCCUUUUUCACAUUCAUUCCCUGGAUCAGUGUCCUACCCAUUUGCUCAGAAACUACACCAUCAACCGUCGCCGGAUCCGUAAAAUGUGCCCUUCCUCCCAGAACUAUUCCUUCAACAGAACAGUGAAUACUGUUUCUAUAAAGUGCCAUGCAUGGUUAGGCCCAUUCCUCUAAGAGUCAAAAAAGAAAAAGAAAAAAAAAAGGAAAAGGAGAAGAAAAAGCAACAAGCUAUAUCCAUAUUCUUGCUAAAUGAUGAAACCAGCAGACUCCACAAACGUGCUGGGAUGAUGCCUGGCUUUUGUUCCUCCUGGGUCCCUUGUUACCAUCUCCCUUGGUAUGUCCCCCUCCUCCUUCCCUGACACAGAGCUUGUAUCAAUGGACACAGCACACUGAAAUAGCUCAGGGGUUAUUUAUGUUUUUUUCAGACACUUUCUUUUUGGUGAAUAAAGUCUU